rnacentral:rRNA from 1 species
AGCUAUAAGUUCUCUGUAUCGCAGCUAACGCAAUAAGCACUCCGCCUGGGGAGUACGACCGCAAGGUUGAARCUCAAAGGAAUUGACGGGGGCCCGCACAAGCGKUGGAGCAUGUGGUUUAAUUCGAAGCAACGCGAAGAACCUUACCAGGUCUUGACAUACUCGUGCUAUUCCUAGAGAUAGGAAGUUCCUUCGGGACACGGGAUACAGGUGGUGCAUGGUUGUCGUCAGCUCGUGUCGUGAGAUGUUGGGUUAAGUCCCGCAACGAGCGCAACCCCUAUUGUUAGUUGCCAUCAUUAAGUUGGGCACUCUAACGAGACUGCCGGUGAUAAACCGGAGGAAGGUGGGGAUGACGUCAAAUCAUCAUGCCCCUUAUGACCUGGGCUACACACGUGCUACAAUGGAUGGUACAACGAGUCGCGAGACAGUGAUGUUUAGCUAAUCUCUUAAAACCAUUCUCAGUUCGGAUUGUAGGCUGCAACUCGCCUACAUGAAGUCGGAAUCGCUAGUAAUCGCGGAUCAGCACGCCGCGGUGAAUACGUUCCCGGGCCUUGUACACACCGCCCGUCACACCACGGGAGUUGGGAGUACCCGAAGUAGGUUGCCUAACCGCAA